rnacentral:lncRNA from 1 species
AAGGUUGGGAGGGGGCUCGAGGCCAUCAGGCUCCAGGCCGCACUUGGCGCUGCCCCCUGGCGCCAGGGAAACAAAGGUUAGGGGCCCAGAGGGAGUUAUCUGGCCCCACCGCCACCGGGUGGGGGAAGGGGACCAAGAGGGGGCGCAGUUCCCCUCCACUCCCCCAGCCCUACUGAUUCUUCGAGACACUUUCACAGGCGGAAAUUCCCAGAGGCCAGGACCUAAACCGUUCACAACUCCCAGCAGGCCAGAGCUGCAGAGACCUCAGAUAGAGACUAUAAAGUGCUGUGGAAGCCUUGUUCAAAUAAAAACAUUCAUGAAUGUCCAGUACUUGAAAUUGUGACGGGGGUCUUGCUAGGUUGCCAAGGCUGGUCUUGAACUCCUGACUUCAAGCAGUCCUCCCACCUCAGCCUCCUAGGGUGUCCGGAUUACAGGCAUGAGCCACUGUGCCCGGCCCCCUAUCACGAUAUCCAUAAGAUGCCAGGAUGCCCAGGAACCGAGUUUGAAAGACAUUGUGCUGCUGAUCCCACCUCCUGACUUUACAGCUGCUGAAUUGCAGAAGACAAAUUGGUAGCUAACAGGAGGCUCCAUCCUGGAUCCUGCCCCUGUCCGUGAGAUUCAGCCUUGAUUAACUGUGUUCCCAUGCUGGUCGUGAGCAGGGCACCAUCCUAGGUCCUUCUUUAUACUCAUUUUCCAUCUCCAGCCAAAAUGGGUUGAACCGAGGAACAAGGACAUAAUCUGUAAAGAGCAAGUGCAAGUCUCUGCUCUGCCAUUACCAGCAUCAGGCUAAUCAAGCCCUUGGAAACUCAAUUUCUUCUCCUGUAAAAUGUGAAUAACUGUUACAGACCUGGAAAGGCUCUUG